GGGGCUGUGGCUCAGUGGUAGAGCAUCUGCUUACCAGGCAAAAGGUCCCAGGUUCGAUCCCCGGCAUCUCCA